UAAACGCUGGCGGCGUGCUUAACACAUGCAAGUCGAACGGAGUGGUCCUCCCGAAGACCUGAUUGAGCUUGCUCUUGAUGGAAUUCAUUUGGAUCACGUUAGUGGCGGACGGGUGAGUAACGCGUGGGUAACCUGCCCUAUACUGGGGGAUAGCAGUUGGAAACGACUGAUAAUACCGCAUAAGCGCACAGCACCGCAUGGUGCAGUGUGAAAAACUCCGGUGGUAUAGGAUGGACCCGCGUCUGAUUAGCUAGUUGGUGAGGUAACGGCCCACCAAGGCGACGAUCAGUAGCCGGCCUGAGAGGGUGUACGGCCACAUUGGGACUGAGACACGGCCCAAACUCCUACGGGAGGCAGCAGUGGGGAAUAUUGGACAAUGGGGGAAACCCUGAUCCAGCCGACGCCGCGUGAGUGAAGAAGUAUCUCGGUAUGUAAAGCUCUAUCAGCAGGGAAGAUAAUGACGGUACCUGACUAAGAAGCACCGGCUAAAUACGUGCCAGCCGCCGC
rnacentral:rRNA from 1 species